GCCUGGCAAUGUAAAAAUGUGAUAUUCCUUCUUUGUAAAGUCAUUAGUGGAUUGUCACUGAUGUACAUGGCAGUCUGAUUUAAUGUCUGCUCAAUAAUAAAAUUGUUUUUUUCUUUCCUCCAUCUGUGAAUGGAAUUUUCUUGGUUGGAAGAAGGGAUUAUAUUUAAUUAUUUCUGUAACUGCUACCCAGAAUGCAGUAUGUACGCACAUAUCUACACGUAUGUUACAGCUUCUACAUGUUUUAAAUUCUGUGAAAACUUUAAUAUUUCCAUGGCCAUUUUGAAUAGAAACCCAUUUGUACAGUUGGCACAGAGUAAACCGAAGUCAUGAAUUUAUUAACCAUAAUUUAUUCCAUAUAUCUUCCUUAGUGAAGUAAUAGUCAUGCACUUCUAUACAUACCAGUAAGAUGAGAUUUGUGUAAAACUCUGAGAAGCCUGCAUACCUUAUAUCAAGCUUUUUUUGGUGGGGGAGUGGUAUGUGUGGCACUCACCUGUUUUGGCUUAUCACAUGUCUCGGCUAUCACUUGCACAAAUUUAGAGGUUGUCACUAGGAUAAAAGCCCUCAUUCACAGGAUGGAUUGCUCUUUGCACGCAGCGGUGUGCUCAAGUCCAACCGCCCAGACUCGCUCCAUUCGUUUCACAGGGAGCCGGCGCGGUGGCCCCUCGACUUCGACGCCAACCUGGGCACCUUGGUAAUUUCCUGUGCCUAGAAUCCAAUUUUUUAAAAAAUAGAAGAGGAGACUAUCCUCGCAAGUCCCCCACAGUCUAGGUCUGCGCAGUCCACCAGCUAGGGAGGCCUCGCUCGCGCAGGGUCUUCUGGGAGGCCGUCGAGCUCUGCGCUUGCGCGACGCCGCUCUGUUAGCUCGGCUUUGUCCUGCGCCCCGGGGGGCUGAGGGCUGCCAGACUCAGCUGAGAGGCNNNNNNNNNNNNNNNNNNNNNNNNNNNNNNNNNNNNNNNNNNNNNNNNNNNNNNNNNNNNNNNNNNNNNNNNNNNNNNNNNNNNNNNNNNNCCGAGCGGGGAGGGACAGCCCGGCGUGGGGACGGGCCGUGGUCGCGCACACAGGGACUACCACGGUAACCAGGGGUUUUGCUGCGCUGAGUCGGAGCUGUCAGGGUGAGAGGCUGUCAGUAAAGGUGAGCUACUCGCGUUGUCACCAGGAUGCUGCUGUUCCAUUAUUGCCUCCUUCAGGCCGCACGACCAUCCUUCAGGUGGUGUCACAUCCACCUUCCGUUGUCAGCAGCAGCAGCUCCACAGACUCCGAGAGCGCUGGUUCACCGGGAGUUGGCGGUGGGAUUCCAGGCCCCUGUCCCACACGGAUCACAUCCUUUCCUGUGCUGACAUCCAACCUUGCUGGUACCCAACGCCCGGUUUUCCCUGGGAGCCUUCAGAACCCAUCCGUGGGGUGCACUCAAUCCAGCCUCACCGCGGAGUGUUCCAGUUCCAGAAUCUUGGGUUCGCCCAACAUUUGGAUGAUUCCUGGAACUGCAAGAUACUGCCUCUUAUGACUUCUCUCUUUCAACUUUCCCUGUUUUGGCCUCAUAGUUUCUACUCUUUCCCAAGAACAGUGGAAAAUGAACAAGUUCAAAGUGAGUCAUUUAUUUAGCCUUUCAUUUCACUGUGUGUGUGUGUAUGUGUGUGUGUGUGUUUAAUAAGUGUUUUGAAAGAGAGUCUACAUAUUAAACUAGAAAAGUAGAUCUGGGCUAGUGGUGCAUGCCUGUAAUCCUAGCUCUGGGAAGCUGAGGCAGGAGGAUCAUCAUGAGUUCAAGGCCAGCCUAGACUACCUAGUGAGUUCAAGGACAGCCUGAAUUAUGUAGUGAGACCCUGUUUCAAAAAAACAAUAAAGGGCUGGGGAUCUGGCUCAGUGGUUCUGGCACCUGCCUUGCAAGCACAAGGACCUGAGUUCCAUCCCCGGUACCAAAAAAAAAAAAAAAAAAAAUCAAAAAAACAAUAAAGCAGGACUGGGGAUUUAGCUCAGCGGUACCAACGCCUUUCUCCUAAGUGCAAGGUCCUGGGUUUGAUCCCUGGUACCCUCCCCACCAAAAAACCUAAAAAAGUGGACAGUUAAAAAUCACACUGGGAGAAAAUACUGUUGAAUAAACAGCAACUCUCCACAAGUGUGGUCUGCAGAGCACUGAGAAUUCUAAGACCUCCUUGAGGGGUCUGUGAGGGCA
rnacentral:lncRNA from 1 species